GACAGAGGAUGCAAGCGUUAUCCGGAAUGAUUGGGCGUAAAGCGUCUGUAGGUGGCUUUUCAAGUCCGCCGUCAAAUCCCAGGGCUCAACCCUCGAAUGCCGGUGGAUACUGUCGGGCUUGAGUACGGGAGAGGCGAGUGGAAUUCCUGGUGUAGCGGUGAAAUGCGCAGAUAUCAGGAGGAACACCGAUUGCGAAGGCAGCUCGCUGGAACGUUACUGACGCUGAGACGCGAAAGCGUGGGGAGCAAACAGG
rnacentral:rRNA from 1 species